GGGGUUGUGGCUCAGUGGUAGAGUGCUUGCCUAGCAUGCAUGAGGCACUGGGUUCAAUCCUCAGCACCACA
rnacentral:tRNA from 1 species